rnacentral:tRNA from 1 species
AAAAAGAUAAGCUAAAAAAAGGCUAUUGGGUUCAUACCUCAAAGAUGGAAAAAUAUCCUCUUUUUA